rnacentral:lncRNA from 1 species
AGAAAUGAGCUGAUGCAUCCAUCUGUACGCUCCUGGGGACAGGGAGAAAGUAACAUCAGAGUAGAACAGAUCACGGUGUGCAGGCAGCACCAGGAAUUCUGAUGCUUCACCUUCUAGAACGUUGCUGCUGGUAAUUGUGGUAUGGGCAAGAUGGAAAAGUCUCCUGUGCCCUUGAUGAAGAUAUAUAGGUGGCAGCUUCCAAACUAUGCCAGUGACAAAUGAAAAAGCCAAAGUACUGCAGGGCCAUUAUUCUCUGCUACCCUGAUGAAGCCCUAAGACUCUUGCUGGCAAUUCCAUGUCAAAGCAGAGGUAGGACCUUGUUUAGGAAGCUACCUCUAUGGGAAACAUACCCAGCCACUCGCGGAGUUUUAGACACCCCUGUCUACUGUCUUGUGGUCCAGUAACUUACCAUAGUCUCUGCACAGCCCAAACUUGAAGGAAAAAAGGAAGGAAAGAUUCAUGAUUAAAAUUACUAUGUACAGUCAAACAAACAUGACUGUGCUCAUUUUAUAUUUAUUCUUUUUCUAUCCAAAAAUUAUUAUCACCUGUACCACACAGAAAAAUAUACAGGGAACAAAGGGGAAGAUGAUGGAAUCUUUGAAUAACCAGGUUGAAGAAGGAAAGGUCUGUGAUCCUGUUAUGAUUUCUAUUUCAGGGAUCAUCAUAAAAUCCAUACCCUCAGAGGCCUGACCCACCCUUUUCUUUGAGCUCUGAGGUUAGGGAAUCUGUGUGAGAUAAGGCACUCAUAUCUUCCUUUGUUUCAGCUGUCCUCAUUCUUGAUCUAGUAAUUUGAGAACUAGAGAUAGUAGAAGAGCUCAAUGAUAUUUCAGAAAGCAGAGAUAGGAGAAAGAAUGUGUAGGAUGAGCUGGAUUGGGGAGGCUCAAGGCAGCUCACAUGAUAGGAGAAAAAAAAUGCAUAAGCUUUGAAGUCACUUAAAUUACCUGUUCUCUCUUUCUGCCACCUCUGUCAUGAGCUAAAUUGUGUAAUUUCAAAAGAUGUUGAGAUCCCAAGGCAUAGAACAUGUGAUUAUGACUUUAUUUAGCAAUAGUAUCUUUGCAGGUGAUGAAACUAAGAUGAGGUAAUUAGGAUGCAUUCUGGUAGAACUUGACCACGUUCUUAUCCAAAAGGGAAUUUUGAGGGCAGAGAAGGAACAGAGCACAGUGCAGCCUGAGGACUUGAGUUCUGAUUUCUAGCACCUGUGCAAAAAGCUUGCUCAGUGAUGAGCUCGUGUAAUCGCAGGACUGAGAAGUCAGAGAGGCAGGAGGAUCCAGUCAGUCUAGGCAAUCAGUGAGCUCCAGUUUGAGUGAAGGACCUCAUCUUAAAAUAGUAAUGUGGAGCAGUUAGGGGAGAUGCUUUAUACAAAUCCUGGUCUCCGUCGUUAUAUACACACACUUGAAUGUAUAUAUUAACACAAAUGAAAGCAAUGAAACACAUGUGCACGUAUACACACAUACAUACACACACACACACACACACACACACACAGAGAGAAAGAGAGAGAGAGAGAGAGAGAGAGAGAGAGAGAGAGAGAGAGAGAGAGAGGAAAUGUUACACAGGCUGGAUAAAACUGUUACAGAAUGAAUUUCUGUUGUUUUUACAGCCCAUUUCAUAGUACUUACUGUAAAGCUCACUCUGGCCAGCUAAUACAACCUCUUAACCUUCUUGUCAGCAAUUAUUUUAGGUAUCUUAUGGGAUUACUCAAGCAAUAAAAACCAUGAUGAAAUAAAUACUUCAGGGGAUAUGGGACAUGUUUCCAUUGGUUGAAAAACUAUUAGAAAACAAAUUAAAGUCCACUUGUGUAGUUGACCAGUUUGUCUCUGAGCCUACUCCAAACCAAAGUGAAUGAAAUCUGUUUGGUCCCAAGCGCCUGAUUAUUACAAAGGAGACAGCAUUAUAUAGUUCCUUGAGGAGAAAAUACCUUUCUUGGCACUAUGCCCUUCCUAUUAGUAUAUAUAAAUUUUACAAACUAAUAUAUUCAAUUGUGAUAUUUGUAUAUGUAUAUAGUAUACUUUGAUCAUAUUUACCCUUCAUGAGCCUCCAUUAUUUCCUCCUGCUUACUUGUUGAAUUAUUAAUAAUUUAUCCUUAGAUGAUAUGGAAAAAUCUAUAAUUUGUAUGUAUUAUUUGAGUGCCAUGUGAUGUUUCAUCAUCUAAUGUAUACUUUGUCUAAUGUACAAACAAGGCUAAGUCCACUUAUCCGUAUAACCAUGUAUCAACUCUUUAUGGUAAAUACUUCAAAAAAGCUCUUCUAGCUCUUUGAAAGGUAGAUGAAUCUGUGGAGUUUCUCUUCUAUGCAAUAAUACAACAGAGUUUUCCUGCUCCCACUAAACUGUAGAACAGACAACAAAUCCAGUGAUAAAUCUGUCCAAUUCAGUAUAUAACCCACACUCAGUUACAUGGCAAUAACAAGGGAAUGCAGAUUCCAAGUUGAAGUUGGUACUUUUGUACAUGUAAUUUUCUUAGAUUUCUUACAUAAGAUCUCCUAGACAUGAGAACACUAAAUAAGCAUAGCAAGAAAUAAAAAUCCGGUGCCUUGCUUUUGUGAGUGAUGGCCCAACUCAUGGAACAUACCCUCCCUGGGAGGACUGGCCACUCAACUCCUGUACUUAAAGGUCCAAAAGACCCUGCUGAAGCAGGUCAGUGGCUGUCUGCCUCACAGUGGAAAUAAAGGUCCCUCUUGUUUUCAGUUACAUCGUUCUUACUUAUUUGCAUAUGUCAGUCAAUUUUAUUCUAAAUGUGCAUCAUAUCUUUUUUUUCAUGUCACACAAAUAUUCUUUAUUUCAUAUUAUAAACCAUUGAAGCAUAUAAUGAUUGUUCUUAUCACAUGAAUCCUACAGAAAAAGGGUAUUGGGCAAGUUUUGGCUUGUGAGCUUGCUCUGUAGGGGCACAAGUCAGAGUUCAUUGUGUGAAUUCGUAGGCAUAUGCAUCAUGUCUUUAAACAAAGCAUUGUAAUAUGUCUGAAAAUAAAGUUUUGUUAAUAACCAUUCUCUGUGCUGGACAUCACUGCACUGUGUGUGAGGUCUGGAUGCAGUCAGGGGAACUGAAGGGAAAGCCGGAUUUGUCUGUAUUCUCUGGGAAACCCAAUACACAAUAUGAACAUUGGAUAUAACAGUCAGAUGUCCAGGGACUGCAAUCCUAUUUAGAGAUCCAGGCUGUUGGGGGUAUAAACAACUCUAUCAAAGUCUAUUGUUAGAAAAAGCAGAUGGUUUGUUUUUUUUUCCCCCGCAACUUCUUGAUUCUGUCUGCCAGAGCCAUACAAAAUAAUGUAUGUAAUCAUUUAUUUUGAAAAGUGAGUCAUUCAACUAUUUUAAGGAAGGUAUUCAGAAAAUAAUACCAAGCUGUUCCGAGCAUAACAAUCAGAUGCUGCUUAAAAAAUAUUCCAUGGGAUUUCCCAAAUCAUUUUGAUAUAAUAAAGGCAGAGUGAACAUAUGCGGCAUGAUCGAUUUGGGUCUCUCUUUUGUCACUUGAGAUGACGAUGAAAAACUUUUGAUAGUUUCUUUAUAGCACGAAUCAUGAGUCUGAGUCAUUGCCAUCCCAAAUGUAUAUUUUAAUGUUGGAUAUAAUAGCCAGGCCAAUGAGUCCUAAAUGUUAUGACUAAUAAAGAUAAUAACUUUUAAAGAAAAGAGUUCAAAGAUAGAGAUGGAUAUCAGAACUUGGUAAUAGCAGUAAGUGCCUACCAUCAAAAGCUAUUGUGAACGUAUCUAGCACAGUUACUAAUCUCUGUAGUGGCCCUCUGGCUUCAGGGCACCUCAAGGCUUUAUAGUUUGUGAUUUCAUAUUGCCCCACAGUACUUUUUAAGAGAAAUGUCAUUAAACUUAUACAUGCUUGUUUGUGGUGUUUCAAGUGCUAAGAGGCACCUUAAUGUAGAAAAUAUUAAAAUGUGGUUAGAGGAUGCUUAGGACUGUCUCCUAAUUGUUUUCUUUCCUUACAGUUGAUAUUAAAAGAAGAUUCAGUAGGAUGCUACUCUUUUUUCUGUCUCAGUCUAUGUCUCUGUCUUUCUGCCUCUCUGUUUCUCUCUCUGUCUCUUCCUCUGUCUCUCUCUGUCUCUAUCUCUCUCUCUGUCUCUCUCUUUUUCUGUGUAUGUGUGUGCCUUUCCCCACCUUCUCCCAUCCCUCCAUUUAUAAUGACAUAUAGAAACAGAUUUGGCACAUUAAACCACACUGUGCAUUAUGUGCAUUAUAGACAUACAUAUUGGUGCAAUUUUUCCUUUCUUCUCUCUCCCAAGUGGGACAGAGGCAUCCUCACUUGGACACUUCAGCUUGUUGAGUUUUUUGAAUUCUGUGGACUGUAUCUUGUGUAUUCUGUAUGGUUUUGUUUUGUUUUGUUUUGUUUUUGGCUAAUAUUCACUUAUUAGUGAGUACAUUCCAUGCAUGUUCUUUUGCAUCUGAGUUACCUCACUCAGGAUGAUAUUUUCUAGUUCACUCCAUUUGCCUUCAAAACUCAGGAUGUCCUCGUUCUUAAUAACUGAGUAGUAUUCCAUUGUGUAAAUGAACCACAUUUUCUGUAUCCAUCCUUCUGUCGUGGGACAUCUAGGUUGUUUACAGCUUCUGGCUGUCACAAACAAGGCUGCUAUGAACAUAGUGGAACAUGUGCCCCUGUGGCAUGGUGGGGCAUCUUUUGGGUUUAUUCGCAAGAGUGGUAUAGCUGUUUCAUGUUUCCUGUGAUUCUAGUGUGAUUUAGAUGACCACCAUAGGAGAACACCUUGGAGCUCCUUCUUUCUUCAUGGCACAUUACUCAUAUUAAGAGAAGUGUAUCAAUAUCUGGUAGUAUGCAUUGAAUGAUUUUUUUACUCAUUUAGUCCCAUGAGACCACCACAUAGACCACAAUGCAAAGAAUGUCACUGCUCUAGAUCUUCACUGGUGUUUCUUACCAGAACUCCUUCUGCGGAAGGUGAAUACUCUUGACUGUUAUUUAUCUUGGGCAUAUAUGAUCUUCAAGAAAUUAUUUGUUUUGUUCUUCUUUAUCUGGCUGUGUUUUAAAUUUUUCUCUGUGCUAUUUUAUUCACCAGCAUUUUAUUAAUAUUUUGUAUUAAAUUAUGCAAGUGAAUGGCAUUAUUAUUUGCUCUCAUGUUUUUUGAUACAGAUACACACUAAUACUAGUCUGGGGCCAUUGUAAACUAAGAUUCUAGGGACAUUAUAGUAUAUAUCUUUAGAUGGACAAGUCCUCAUAUUCUUUUUUGGGUCUAGGAAGUGGAAUUGCUAUAGGUUAACAUGUACCUAAACUUUGUUUGAUAUUCCUGAGCUGUUUCAUAAGUGGUUGGUCACAAGUUAUGUUGACAGUGAUAUUGAAUGAGAAUUACAGAUGCUCCACAUCUUAGGAUUAGCAUAAUUAGGGAUUUUUCCUUUAGUUUUUCCUUUCCUAGUUGGAAAUGGCAACUGCAUCCUAACCCUGCUCUCCUGUGUGCCUGUUUCUUCCUGUGUGUCUUCUACUUACAUUCAGCAUCAUUUCCCCCCACUGUCUAGUAAUGCAUUGACAUAGCCAUGCUCAGUUGGAGUCAAUUUGAUAAACUCCUCUUUAUAUGGCUUAAAAAGUUCUAGACAAAAAAAACUAUGGGCAGUUAAGCCAUGUGGAGGGUAGGAGAAAUUGUUCUCCCUGGGGAGGAGGGCCCUUGUUGGUUAUCCAAUAGCAAGCAGCCACCCCUAACAUCACAUACAAACAGUAAGUCAGCUGAGCAGGUUGUAGGUCCACGUUCACCUUUAUGUAACAACUAAAGAAAAACAAAGCAUAAGUAGAGGGAAGAGGCAUUGGGGGCCUAUGGAAAGGGAUGGAGGGAGGAGAGGCAUUGGGGGCCUAUGGGAAGGGAUGGAGGGAGGAGAGGCACUGGGGGCCUAUGAAAAGGGAUGGAGGGAGGAGAGGCAUUGGGGGCCUAUGGAAAGGGAUGGAGGGAGGAGAGGCAUUGAGGGCCUAGGGGAAGGGAUGGAGGGAGGAGAGACACUGGGGGCCUAUGGGAAGGGAUGGAGGGAGGAGAGGCAUUGGGGGCCUAUGGGAAGGGAUGGAGGGAGGAGAGGCAUUGGGGGCCUAUGGGAAGGGAUGGAGGGAGGAGAGGCAUUUGAGGGCCUAUGGGAAGGGAUGGAGGGAGGAGAGGCAUUUGAGGGCCUAUGGGAAGGGAUGGAGGGAGGAGAGGCACUGGGGGCCUAUGGGAAGGGAUGGAGGGAGGAGAGGCAUUUGAGGGCCUAUGGGAAGGGAUGGAGGGAGGAGAGGCACUGGGGGCCUAUGGGAAGGGAUGGAGGGAGGAGAGGCACUGGGGGCCUAUGGGAAGGGAUGGAGGGAGGAAAAGGCUGGGGAAAUUAUGCAAUUGUAUUUUAAUUUUGAAAAGAACUCAGGAUUUUGCAUGAUGUUUUUAUAAAGCCUGUAGAUAAGCUUGGUGGAAGCCAAUAUUUAAAGAUGAAAUUGAGUUCCAUAAUCUAUAAGUUUAAAAGGCCACAUUUUAAAUCUUAAUUCUCUUAGUAACUAUUCUAAUUUUGAGGUAGAGAAAUUAAUGCUUUCUAAUUUUCCCUA